rnacentral:rRNA from 1 species
CAGUAGCCGCGGGAAAACCGAGGGUGCAAGCGUUAAUCGGAAUUACUGGGCGUAAAGCGCGCGUAGGUGGUUUGUUAAGUUGGAUGUGAAAUCCCCGGGCUCAACCUGGGAACUGCAUCCAAAACUGGCAAGCUAGAGUAUGGUAGAGGGUGGUGGAAUUUCCUGUGUAGCGGUGAAAUGCGUAGAUAUAGGAAGGAACACCAGUGGCGAAGGCGACCACCUGGACUGAUACUGACACUGAGGUGCGAAAGCGUGGGGAGCAAACAGGAUUAGAUACCCCCGUAGUCCCUGUCUCUUAUAC